CCUACGGGUGGCAGCAGUGGGGAAUAUUGGGCAAUGGACGCAAGUCUGACCCAGCAACGCCGCGUGAAGGAAGAAGGCUUUCGGGUUGUAAACUUCUUUUAAGGGGGAAGAGCAGAAGACGUUACCACUUGAAUAAGCCACGGCUAACUUCGUGCCAGCAGCCGCGGUAAUACGUAGGUGGCAACCGUUGUACGGAUUUACUGGGGGUAAAGGGCGUGCAUCCGGGGAGACAAGUCAGAUGUGAAAUCCACGGGCUUAAACCGUGGACCGCAUUGGAAACUAUUUACCUAGAGUGUCGGAGAGGUAAGUGGAAUUCCAUGUGAAGCGGUGAAAUGCGUAGAUAUAAGGAAGAACACCAGAGGCGAAGGCGGAUUACUGGAUGAAAACUGACGGUGAGGGGCGAAAGCGUGGGGAGCAAACAGGAUUAGAUACCCGUGUAGUC
rnacentral:rRNA from 1 species